rnacentral:lncRNA from 1 species
GGCGGCAGGUGGGGCCGCACCUGCGCGACAGCCCGCCGCUUCCCUCCGCUCCCUUCGCCGCGCCUCGCGUGCUAGCGGUGCCCUUGUGAGCCACUGCGUUCUCCAAGGCCAGAACGGGACAGUUGACGAUGGUCGUACUUCUCCAUGUUCUGAGACCAGUUUAAACAAAAACAAAAACCAGACAACAACCUUGCAAGGGAAAGAAUUCAGAGUAAAUAAACAGUCUUUUUCUGGGAAGUAAAAUAUUUCCCUAAGAUGGAGAAAUUGAGAUGAGAGCUCAUCCACAAGAUUACCCAUCAAUGAGCACCAAUAGCAACCAAAUCCACUAGAAGACUGGGAGCUUUUAAGUCAAGAAACUUACAUCAGUAUCAUCAUUCCAAGAAGCGGUAUCCAAGCUGUUUUAUCGAAAGUGCGCAUGGGAGAUAAGACUCUGAGAAUUUAUAGAAACAAACAUUAGAAGGCAGGAAUGUGGAGAGAAGAAAGCUACCUGACAAGGGAAUCUCAGGAUACAAGGAAAACACCAAGGUGAGUUUCCUGACUUUUAGCUUUGCCUGAUAUAUCUCAGACCUAGAGUUCAAGGAACCAAGAACCCCAAAAUAAUAAUGGGAAAGGACAAGAAAAGCCCCAGCGAAAGACUACUCUGUCUCUAGCCAAAGGACAAGGAAAGGGGCAACCAAGCAAGACAGAAAAACAUUUAGAUAAUAACCACUCUAUUCUAGCCAAAUUCCACAAAAACUAAUUAGAUGGUGUCAGAGGAGGCUGAGUAGGAAGGAGGGACUUUACCCCUGCCCCCUAAUCCUGUGAUAUCAGUGGAAGCCAUGUGGAGAGCAGCAGCAAGGCACUUCCAUCCCUCACAUGUUGGGAAGUAUAGUGGACCCUCGAACAACACAGGUUUGAACAUCACAGGUCCACCUAGGUGCAGAUUUUGUUAAACAAAAAUGUAGCAACUUCCUAGCAUGUUCAGAUACUCUUCUAGGUACUUGGAAGACAAUAGUAAAGAAAAACAGCCAAAGCCCCUGCUGUCCUGAAAGAUGCAGGCAAUGGAAGAGGUAUUAGUUUAGGGACCCACACAAAUAAGUAAAUUUGCAUAUAUGCUAAGGGUCAUAAAGGGGUGGCAUGUGAGCAUGUGAGAAUAUAGAAUAGACACAUCUGCUUGGCUAAGGGCAGUCAGAAAACACUUUCUUCAGAAAUGAAUGAUUUAUUUAAAAUCUUCAUAAUUAAUUAGGCAGAGUAGGCCAAAAGUUAUCUAAGUACAGAGAAUGUACCUGUGCAGUUUAUUUUAUUGACUUGAAAAUUAAUUUCCUUCAUAGGAAUGUAAAUCUCUGUUUACCACAAGCCCUCUGUCUCCACAAGUUCUGUGUCCAGAACUGAAGGCAGAUCCAAAUACAAUAUUCAUGGGAUGCAAAUUCCCAUGUAUGCCAAGAGAUAACUGCUUUAUUGGAGGCCUAGUGGGGAACUGAAACUCCCACUCCUGCUUAGCAGGAAUGAGAAGCCCCCUUUCAGAGGUCAACAGAAGCUGAGUUAAGAAACCUGAACUUUUACCCUACCUGGCAGUAAUGAAGCGACACCCACCUUCGUCUGUGAGGAUGGUGUGAGAUGAAGGUAGCUAAAACAAAAGGUUUAAAUAAGAUUCAGAGUCUCAUCAUAUUGAAAUGUCCAUAUUUCAGUGGAAAAUUACUCAUCAUACAAAAACAAGAAAGAACUAAAACUAAGUGAGAAAAGAUAAUAAAUAUAUGCCAACAUCAAGAUGACACAAAUGUUAGAAUUAUCUGGCAAAGCUUGUAAAGCAGCCAUCAUAAAAAUACUCCAAUGAACAAUUAAAACAUUCUUGUAGCUAAUGAAAAUUUAUUUGGAAAGCUUCAACAAAGAAAUAGGAAGUCAUAACCAAAAAUAGAAGAUAAAAGAGUCAAAUGGAAAAUUUUGAACUGAAGAAUACAAUAACCAAUAUAAAAAACUCAAUGCAUGGGCAGAAUGGAGGAGACAGAGGAAAUAUUGGUGAACUGGAGGAAACAAUAUAAAUUGACCAUCUAUACAACAGAGAGAAGAUAGAGUGAAAAAAAGAUGAAA